AGAGAAGGCAGCCACCUGCAAGCCAGGAAGAAGGUCACACCAGACACCAACCAUGCUGGCAUCUGGACCUUAGACUUCCAGGCUCCAGAAUCGUGAGAAAAUAAAUGCCUAUUAUUUAAGCCCCAGUCUGUGGCAUUCUGUUACAGCAGCCUGAGCUGACUGAGACACAGACCCUCCAAGAAAAAAAGGGAAGGACUUCUGCUUGGGUGCCAAAAGUGUGCAGAGCUGCUCUGCCCGGGACCUGUGUCAUCCUUCUUCCAUCUCUUCUACACAUGCUGGUUCCCUCCACCAGACUCUGGCCUGUCCUGUCUGCAGGGUGAAGUCUAAUGGGACCAUGGAGUGGGCACAUGAGCUGGAGAUUCAUGCAAUAGACAUGCCUGCUGUUCCUUGCUGCCUUGUCAGCAUGUGGUGUUCUUGAUGCCCCAUGAGCAUAGCAUUCCAGGGAAACCAUGAUGCAUGGAAGUGUGACUCAAAAGGUCCCACAUUUUCAUUUUGAACAAGGAGCCCCACAGUUGUGAGAACAGCCUGACAGAGGGCAUGGAGACUGAGGAUAGGAGGCCCACUCAGAUCCCAGAGUUAUUCAGAGAGGAAGAAACCAAUGCUUUGAAAGGUUGAGCAACCUGUCCACAUCACUUGACCGGCAAGCAGCACAGCCAAUGACCGUGGACCCAUAGACCUCAGCCACCAACUUCUGUGCUGUCCUGCCUGCUAGGUGUAACAUACCUAAUUCUUUUGCCCCUGUCUCCUUGGAUGUCAGGCUCCUCCUGCCCUCCUUGGCCCCUCCCUGUUGGGUGUACAUCCUUCCAGACUGUUUUCCAUGCACUUCGGUGCCAGGAUGAUUAUCAAGAUGCCACUUUCUUUGCCAUCCUUGUAUCCUUCCUCCAGAUAUACAAG
rnacentral:lncRNA from 10 species